rnacentral:lncRNA from 1 species
ACACAGCGCUGGCGCCGGCGUGGCGGAGAGGCGGACGGCGGCGGAGAGGCGGCCAGCGGCGGCGCGGCGGAGAGGCGGACAGCGGCGGCGCGGCGGAGAGACGGACAGCGGCGGAGAGGCGGACAGCGGCGGCGCGGCGGAGAGGCGGACAGCGGCGGCGCGGCGGAGAGACGGACAGCGGCGGAGAGGCAGACAGCGGCGGCGAG